rnacentral:rRNA from 1 species
CCUUGUACACACCGCCCGUCGAGUCAUGGGAGGCCGGGAAUGCCCGAAGUCGCCAUAUCACUAUGGUGCCUACGGCAAGCUCGGUGACUGGGACU